rnacentral:Y_RNA from 1 species
UGUUGGUCUAGAAGUAGUGAGUCAUCUCAGUUGACUGCUCACAGUGUUAUAGCUCAAACUCAUUGUUCUAUUCUUUCCCCCUUCUCACUACUGCACUUGACAAGUUUUAA